GAUGAACGCUGGCGGCGUGCUUAACACAUGCAAGUCGAACGAGAAAUGUAGACGGAAACCUUCGGGCGGAAGCCUUCAUUUCGAGUGGCGGACGGGUGAGUAACGCGUGGGUAACCUGCCUCAUACAGGGGGAUAACAGUUGGAAACGACUGUUAAUACCGCAUAAGACCACAGCAUCGCAUGAUGCGGGGGUAAAAACUCCGGUGGUAUGAGAUGGACCCGCGUUCGAUUAGCCAGUUGGCGGGGUAACGGCCCACCAAAGCGACGGUCGAUAGCCGAUCUGAGAGGAUGACCGGCCACAUUGGGACUGAGACACGGCCCAAACUCCUACGGGAGGCAGCAGUGGGGAAUAUUGCACAAUGGGGGAAACCCUGAUGCAGCGACGCCGCGUGAGUGAAGAAGUACUUCGGUAUGUAAAGCUCUAUCAGCAGGGAAGAAAAUGACGGUACCUGAGUAAGAAGCCCCGGCUAACUACGUG
rnacentral:rRNA from 1 species